AAGUCGAGCGAAGCACUUAUUAUUGAAUCUUCGGAGGAUUUAGUAAGUGACUGAGCGGCGGACGGGUGAGUAACGCGUGGGUAACCUACCCUGUACAGGGGGAUAACAGUCAGAAAUGACUGCUAAUACCGCAUAAGACCACAGCACCGCAUGGUGCAGGGGUAAAAACUCCGGUGGUACAGGAUGGACCCGCGUCUGAUUAGCUGGUUGGUGAGGUAACGGCUCACCAAGGCGACGAUCAGUAGCCGGCUUGAGAGAGUGAACGGCCACAUUGGGACUGAGACACGGCCCAGACUCCUACGGGAGGCAGCAGUGGGGAAUAUUGCACAAUGGAGGAAACUCUGAUGCAGCGACGCCGCGUGAAGGAAGAAGUAUCUCGGUAUGUAAACUUCUAUCAGCAGGGAAGAAAAUGACGGUACCUGACUAAGAAGCCCCGGCUAACUACGUGCCAGCAGCCGCGGUAAUACGUAGGGGGCAAGCGUUAUCCGGAUUUACUGGGUGUAAAGGGAGCGUAGACGGACGGGCAAGUCUGAUGUGAAAGCCCNGGGGCUUAACCCCCGGGACUGCAUUGGAAACUGUCCAUCUUGAGUGCCGAAGAGGUAAGCGGAAUUCCUAGUGUAGCGGUGAAAUGCGUAGAUAUUAGGAGGAACACCAGUGGCGAAGGCGGCUUACUGGACGGUAAC
rnacentral:rRNA from 1 species